GCACGUCGCGAAGGCGGUCGAUCAGCUGAGGACACAAAAAAAAACGCUCGUUUCAAAACGUGUCCAGUUCCAGCAACGACGAUGAGGAAAAAAAGCCCUGUGCAAGCAGAAAACUCAUCACUGCAGUGAGGCCCUGUCAUCUGAUCGACACACAUGGACCUCAGAACUACGCAUGGCUGGCUGGGGUAAAGCCCAUCUCAACAGCAGGACCUCAGCCGCUCUUCAUGAUGCCCAGUAAGUAAGCUGCCAGUGUAAAGCCUGUACCUGCUCUGACUGGAGCUGCUGCCGGAUGAUUCUCACGUGUUCCUGGUUCUCUGGGUGGAUGUUCUGCUGCUCAUUUCUGAGGAAAAACAAGCCGAGAGCAGUCUCCAUUGUCAGAGAUAUUUGGAUUUAAACAAAUGCAAAGCCUGGUGAGCAAACGUAUUCCUUCAAUCAUACUAUGAGCAAUGAAGUGUAAAACACGUUUGGUUUUGCACAGAGUAAAAUAACAAACGCAGGAUGAACAAUUAAAGGUCAUAAAAAGAAUAUGAAGUGUUCUUUAUAAUCGGUAAUAGAUAUGAAGUGUGUUCAGUAUCACAGCUAAAAUAUCUUCCUUAUUGAAAUUAAUACAUUUCACUGCAUAAAUUUUCACUAAGAUCAUAUGCUUUAAAAUUAAAGUGAAAUUAUAUAUUAUUUUUUUCAAAGAACUCGGAACCAUGGGAAAUCCAAAAUAGAUCAUGGAGGCUCAAUUCUCAAAGAAUUUAUACUAUUAAUCAGGGGAACACAAAGACACCCGUUAACCAAUAGUGGCUCCAGGAUUACUUUAAAAAAUGGCAAUGGUUUUUCAGUUGUCCGAUUUGGGCAGGCACAUAAUUGGGCUUAUCUUCAUGAAUCUUUACCUGCAGA